CGCACAUAUUGUACGGUACACUUUCUUGAGGUCAUCCUCCCGGCACCUCAUACUAGUGGCCAGGGCCGGCUCUAGGCACGUUCGACUAGAGCGGCCGCGCGGGGCGCCACCCUUAAUGGGCGCCGCGCGCUGGCGCCGCCAUAGUCUUACCUGGAGCCGGCCCUGUACACUGCAGGCAGCUCUCCCCGCCGUCCCCGGCCUUUCAAAACUGUGCGCUGCGCUGCGCGGCGCCGGCGUCUGACGUCAGACGCCGCGCAGCGCGCACCAAGCGGCCGGGAACAGUCGGUGGCCCUCAGGCUCAACAGCAGCACGUCCACUCCCAGCGUCGCCGCAGGUGUCUCUAUUGUUUCUUUUUCCAGUUCCAUUUUGAGUGCCAAAGUAGGCCAUUUUUCAGUUUCAUUUAAAAUAAAAAGGAUCCUUUAUUUUCUGAGCCGAUAUGGAGUACGCUCCUGCAAUCCUGUCCCUGAAUGCUAAGUUCCCUGGGAACUCCCAUGAUGCCCAUGUCAUUAGACAAUCAGGGAUAUGGCAAAGAUUAAGAACGAUGGAAGGCCAAGACAUGUGGCUAUUGGGAGACCGUGGAUAUCCUUGCACCCCCCUGGCUCAUGACUCCUUACAGUAAACCCAGGCCAGGACCACAGACGGCAUUUAACUCCGCACUUACUGCCACUAGACAGCUGGUGGAGCGCACGAUUGGUGUUCUUAAAGGGCGUUUUUGUGUGCUCCACCGCACUGGUGGCGACAUCAUGUAUUCGCCGGAGAUGGUAAGUAAAAUUGUGGUCCUGUGCGCUAUCCUACAUAACAUCGCUGUAAGGAGUCGCGUAGAGCUUCCCCAAACGGAGGAAUUGCCGGAUGAGGAGCCAGGGGUUGACCGGACAUUCGGUGGCGGGAGUGUGUACCGCCAGGGGAAUGCAGUAAGGGCUAGAAUUGUCCGGGAUUAUUUCAGGGCAAGCACAACGGCGAGCAGCGGCUGCAAGGCGGUGCCUUCGAGGGCCAGGCUAAGCCCCUUCUCCGCCCAGUCCCCUUCUAUGGCCCACUCCUCCUCUCCGGCCCCCUCCCCCUCUCUUUCCCAAUCCCCCUCUCCGGCCCCCUACCCCUCUCCGGCCCCCUACCCCUCUCCGGCCCACUCCCCUCUUUGGCCCCCUCCCCCUCUCUUUCCCAAUCCCCCUCUCCGGCCCACUCCCCCUCUCCGCCCCCCCUCCCCCUCUCUUUCCCAAUCCCCCUCU